CCAGUAUUACCUCUGAUUGCGUGUCUCGAUACAAGUUGAGUGAGAUGCGCUUGUUUACACUUGCUAAGGUAAAUGUAAACAUGAUAAAAAAUUAACAGUACAAACAAGGAUAAUUGCAUGUCAAACAUCCAUGAGAGGAACUUGGGACCUAUCCCAAGCUCUCACAGUGUCGCAAACAUGAUGCCCCAGUCCACCCUGUUGAACACCUUCUCAGUGUCAGUCGACAGAAGCAGAACCAUGGAUUCUUCUCCUCACGAUUGAUGUCUAAGGCUUGUCACUGACCUCAGACAGGGAUAAAC